GAUGAACGCUGGCGGCGUGCCUAAUACAUGCAAGUCGAGCGAAAAGAUGAGGAGCUUUCUCCUCUGACGUUAGCCGCGGACGGAAGAGUAACACACGGAUAACCUACCUAUAAGAAAGGGAUAGAUUCGGGAAACCGGAGCGCAUACCGGAUAAUGUAGUGAACCGCAUGGUUCAAUAGUGAAAUACGGCUUUGCUGUCUCUUAUAGAUGGAUCCGCGCCGGAUUAGCUAGUUGGUAAGGUAACGGCUUACCAAGGCAACGAUGCGUAGCCGACCUGAGAGGAUGAUCGGCCACACUGGAACUGAGACACGGUCCAGACUCCUACGGGAGGCAGCAGUAGGGAAUCUUCCGCAAUGGGCGAAAGCCUGACGGAGCAACGCCGCGUGAGUGAUGAAGGUCUUCGGAUCGUAAAACUCUGUUAUUAGGGACGAACAAAUUUGUAAGUAACUAUGCACGUCUUGACGGUACCUAAUCAGAAAGCCACGGCUAACUACGUG
rnacentral:rRNA from 1 species